UGUUCAGAUAAGAACAUAAAUUGUUCAUAAAAUGUGGUUGAGCAUGGAGUUUUGUUCCUUUAGUUUUGCAGGUGUUUCUUGAUUGACACUUGUUCCCACAUCAUGGAAGAAACAAAUAUGCGGACAGCAUAGGAUGGUAUUAAAGGAAAGGCCCAUUCAUUUUGCUAAGCAUACCUUUCUCGGCCUUUUGGCUAAGAUCAAGUGUAAUAUCUAUUCUUAUCAGUUUAAUAUCUGAUAUGUGAGCUAUUGGUUCACACGAUAUUAACUCUAUUUUUGGCUGGGGAGAGUCCUUCAAGGUAGCUUGCUACCUGGGCUCUCAAGCGUCGUCCUUGCGUUGCACUGCUGCAUGGACUUGGCGCACCCCACCAAUCUAAGUUUAAAUCUUCUGGCGUCAAUCCUUUGUGGGCUCUUUUGGUGUCUGGCCCAGUACUAUUUACGCUUUUGUAGUUUAAUGCCAUUUUGUUUGUGUAAUAAUCUUUGCUCCAAUAAUUAGUAAUGGGAAUUAGUUUGCUUCAAGCUUUAAAAGGAAUGGUGUGUGAAACUUAUGUAGAAAGUAACCCAUGUUAUACAGAGGUGAACUCAAGAUUUGUAAGGGUGGAUUGUGUAAGCGAUGUCACAAGUUCCUCAAGAUUUGUAAGGGUGGAUUGUGUAAGCGAUGUCACAAGUUCCUCAAGAUUUGUAAGGGUGGAUUGUGUAAGCGAUGUCACAAGUUCCUCAAGAUUUGUAAGGGUGGAUUGUGUAAGCGAUGUCACAAGUUCCUCGGGAUUUGUUAAGGGUGGAUUGUGUAAACCUCUCAAGAUUUGUAAGGGUGGAUUGUGUAAGCGAUGUCACAAGUUCCUCAAGAUUUGUAAGGGUGGAUUGUGUAAGCGAUGUCACAAGUUCCUCAGGAUGAUUGUGUAAGCAAAGAUGAUGUCACAAGUUCCUCAGGAUUUGUUAAGGGUGGAUUGUGUAA
rnacentral:lncRNA from 1 species